rnacentral:rRNA from 1 species
CCUACGGGAGGCAGCAGUAGGGAAUCUUGCACAAUGGGCGAAAGCCUGAAGCAGCAAAGCCGCGUGAAUGAUGAAGGUCUUAGGAUCGUAAAACCCUGUUGUUAGAGAAGAAAAUGCGUGUGAGUAACUGUUCACGAUUCGACGGUAUCUAACCAGAACGCCACGGCUAACUACGUGCGAGCAGCCGAGGUGAUACGGAGGUGCGAAGCGUUAUCCGGAUUUAUUGGGCGUAAAGGGAGCGCAGGCGGUCUGUUAAGUCUGAUGUGAAAGCCUUCGGCUUAACCGGAGUAGUGCAUGGGAAACUGGUAGACUUGAGUGCAGAAGAGGUGAGUGGAAUGCAAGGUGUAGCGGUGAAAUGCGUAGAGAUAAGGAAGAACACCAGUGGCGAAGGCGGCUCUCUGGUCUGUAACUGACGCUGAGGUACGAAAGCGUGGGUAGCAAACAGGAUUAGAUACCCGUGUAGUC